UACGAAGGGGGCUAGCGUUGUUCGGAAUUACUGGGCGUAAAGCGUGCGCAGGCGGCUUCCCAAGUCAGUGGUGAAAGCCCGGAGCUCAACUCCGGAAAUGCCAUUGAAACUGUGAAGCUCGAGAACGAGAGAGGUGAGUGGAAUUCCCAGUGUAGAGGUGAAAUUCGUAGAUAUUGGGAAGAACACCAGUGGCGAAGGCGGCUCACUGGCUCGUAACUGACGCUCAUGCACGACAGCGUGGGGAUCAAACAGG
rnacentral:rRNA from 1 species